CCCUUAGAUGUUCUGGGCCGCACGCGCGCUACACUGAUGCAUUCAACGAGUCUAAAACCUGCUCUGAUAGGGGUGGGUAAUCUUUUGAAUGUGCAUCGUGAUUGGGAUAGAUGAUUGCAAUUUUUCAUCUUCAACGAGGAAUGCCUAGUAAACGCAAGUCAUCAGCUUGCAUUGAUUACGUCCCUGCCCUUUGUACACACCGCCCGUCGCUCCUACCGAUUGAAUGAUCCGAUGAAUAUCAUGGAUUGAGGAUGCAAGCAGGUUCUCCUGUCUUCAUCUUCGAGAAGUGAAGUAAAUCUUAUCAUUUAGAGGAAGGAGAAGUCGUAACA
rnacentral:rRNA from 1 species